AUUGAACGCUGGCGGCAGGCUUAACACAUGCAAGUCGAGCGGGGUGAUGGUGCUUGCACUAUCACUUAGCGGCGGACGGGUGAGUAAUGCUUAGGAAUCUGCCUAUUAGUGGGGGACAACAUCUCGAAAGGGAUGCUAAUACCGCAUACGUCCUAAGGGAGAAGGCAGGGGAUCACUUGUGACCUUGCGCUAAUAGAUGAGCCUAAGUCGGAUUAGCUAGUUGGUGGGGUAAAGGCCUACCAAGGCGACGAUCUGUAGCGGGUCUGAGGGGAUGAUCCGCCACACUGGGACUGAGACACGGCCCAGACUCCUACGGGAGGCAGCAGUGGGGAAUAUUGGACAAUGGGGGGAACCCUGAUCCAGCCAUGCCGCGUGUGUGAAGAAGGCCUUAUGGUUGUAAAGCACUUUAAGCGAGGAGGAGGCUCUUUUGGUUAAUACCCAAGAUGAGUGGACGUUACUCGCAGAAUAAGCACCGGCUAACUCUGUGCCAGCCGCCGCGGUAA
rnacentral:rRNA from 1 species